GACGAACGCUGGCGGCGUGCCUAAUACAUGCAAGUUGAGCGCUGAAGGUUGGUACUUGUACCAACUGGAUGAGCAGCGAACGGGUGAGUAACGCGUGGGGAAUCUGCCUUUGAGCGGGGGACAACAUUUGGAAACGAAUGCUAAUACCGCAUAAAAACUUUAAACACAAGUUUUAAGUUUGAAAGAUGCAAUUGCAUCACUCAAAGAUGAUCCCGCGUUGUAUUAGCUAGUUGGUGAGGUAAAGGCUCACCAAGGCGAUGAUACAUAGCCGACCUGAGAGGGUGAUCGGCCACAUUGGGACUGAGACACGGCCCAAACUCCUACGGGAGCCAGCAGUAGGGAAUCUUCGGCAAUGGACGAAAGUCUGACCGAGCAACGCCGCGUGAGUGAAGAAGGUUUUCGGAUCGUAAAACUCUGUUGGUAGAGAAGAACGUUGGUGAGAGUGGAAAGCUCAUCAAGUGACGGUAACUACCCAGAAAGGGACGGCUAACUACGUG
rnacentral:rRNA from 1 species